GUUGCAGCCGGGAAGCCAGCGAGGUCGGUUCCGCCCGACUCUAACAUGGCGGCGCCCUUUGUCUGCUCUGAAGUGCCGUCCCCGGCCUUCUCGCGGCCGUGAUGCACCUCCCUCUGCAGUGGGGUCCGGGACAUGGCAGGUAAUGAGCUGGAGGAGGGGAGCCAAGCUGGAGUAUAUGCGCACAAACUGUCAGCAAAGAGUAGCCUGGGCUAUUUGGAAAUCUGAGGUAUGUCUGUAAUACUGAAGGAUGAAACAAAUGGGGAGGUCUGUUUGUCUGUUCUUUGCUA
rnacentral:lncRNA from 1 species